rnacentral:rRNA from 1 species
UACGUAGGGUGCGAGCGUUGUCCGGAAUUAUUGGGCGUAAAGAGCUCGUAGGCGGCUUGUCACGUCGGAUGUGAAAGCCCGGGGCUUAACCCCGGGUCUGCAGUCGAUACGGGCUAGCUAGAGUGUGGUAGGGGAGAUCGGAAUUCCUGGUGUAGCGGUGAAAUGCGCAGAUAUCAGGAGGAACACCGGUGGCGAAGGCGGAUCUCUGGGCCAUUACUGACGCUGAGGAGCGAAAGCGUGGGGAGCGAACAGG